AAGUUUAAUUUUUUAAAAAAAAAAGAUUUAAAAUUUUGACAUUAUUUCAAAAUUUUGACGUAAAAUUUUAAUAUUUAAUUUUCAAUUUGAAUUUAAAUUAAUAUAUUAUAAAGAUAAAGUUAGCAUAUUAAUUUGAUUACGUUUUUUAUAUCUACCUGAACCAAACACCAACAAUGGAAAUGAUUUAUUCCGAUUCCGAUUCAGGUGAUGAACCAAACAGAAUUAGGUAACGAGUCAUUCCGAUUCCAAUUCCAGCUUAUUUCGAUUCUGAUUCUUAUUCCGAUUCCGACUUCGAACCAAACACACCCCUAAUGUAAGCAAUUAUAUAAGUUGAAUAAAUAAUUGCUCAAGUGGCUUCUAAAUAAUCAGCCUAAUAUCAAGUGCUCAAUUUACACAAAUUCGACAACCAUCAUUCAUUC
rnacentral:lncRNA from 1 species